rnacentral:rRNA from 1 species
CCUACGGGUGGCAGCAGUGGGGAAUAUUGCACAAUGGGGGAAACCCUGAUGCAGCGACGCCGCGUGAGUGAAGACGUCACUCGGUAUGUAAAGCUUCAUCUGCAGGGAAGAAAAUGACGGUACGUGUGUAAGAAGCCCCGGCUAAUUACGAGCCAGCAGCCGCGGUAACACGUCGGGGGCCAGCGUUAUCCGGAUUUACUGGGUGGAAAGGGGGCGUAGACGGCAGUGCAGGUCAGGAGUGAAAGGCGGGGGCUCAACCCUCGGACUGCACUGGAAACUGUCCGGCUGGAGUGCAGGAGAGGUAAGUGGAAUUCGUAGUGUAGCGGUGAAAUGCGUAGAUAUUAGGAAGAACACCGGUGGCGAAGGCAGCUUACUGGACUGUAACUGACGUUGAUGCUCGAAAGCGUGGGGAGCAAACAGGAUUAGAUACCCCGGUAGUC